rnacentral:tRNA from 1 species
ACUACAUGUACUCCAACAGGCAAGAACCGGCUGUUAACCGGAGGGUUGUAGGUUCGAGUCCUACCUGAGGAGCCA